rnacentral:RNase_P_RNA from 1 species
AGACGGUCGGAUGGCCGCUCUUUGAGUUGAAAAAUGUACCAGAGAGAGGAAAGUCCGGGCUCCACGGAAACACGGUGCCGGGUAAUGCCCGGCGGAGGAGACUUCAGGGAAAGUGCCACAGAGAGCAAACCGCCUGUAAAGGACAGGCAAGGGUGAAAAGGUGCGGUAAGAGCGCACCGCGCUUCUGGCAACAGGAGUGGCACGGCAAACCCCACCGGGAGCAAGACCAAAUAGGAACGGCAAAAGACCCUAUGGUUUUGGGCGUGUUUCCGCGUCGCCGUUCGGGUAGGUUGCACGAGAUAUUCGGUAACGAAUAUCCAAGAUGAAUGGCCAUCACCUGCUUCUUGGCAGGGACAGAACCCGGCUUACAGACCGUCUGG